UCCAGGGUUGAAUUUUGUCUAUGGCGAC
rnacentral:piRNA from 1 species